GAUUUCAACUGAAAAAGUCAUCAACAACAAAUUGUAUAACUCAUCAAGAUCUAUAAAUUUUAUUUUAAUCAUUUCUUCAUCCCACAAAGUUAUUUUUAAGACUGUUCACAAAAUGUACAUCUCUUAUAUAGUUUUAUAAAAACUAUAUAAGAGAUGUUUAUUUUGUGAACAAUCUUACAAAGUUAUAAAACUAUAUAAGAGAUGUUUAUUUUGUGAACAAUCUUACAAAUAACUUUGUUGGAUGAAGAAAUGAUUAUAAUAAAAUUUAUAGAUCUUGAUGAGUUAUACAACUUUGUUGUUGAUGACUUUUUCAGUUGAAAUC
rnacentral:pre_miRNA from 1 species